AUGACAACAUAGUUCAAUGGCCGCGGUACCCUGACCGUGCAAAGGUAGCAUAAUCACUUGCCCCUUAAUUAGGGGCUGGCAUGAAAGGACACACGAAAGCUUCCCUGUCUCACAAUAACAAAUAAAAAUUAAUCUUCAAGUGAAAAAGCUUGAAUAAAAUUGCAGGACAAGAAGACCCCGUUGAGCUUUAUUCUCUAUAGACUAAAUCAAAUAUUAAAUACAUCAUAAACCUAAAAAGAAUUUAGUUGGGGUGACUAAGGAACACCGAAAACUUCCUUUUAUUAAUUAGGAUCAUUCUCCAUACAAAUUGACCCAUUACACAUGAUCAAAAAAAUAAGCUACCACAGGGAUAACAGGCUAAUCUUUCUCAAGAGCCCAAAUUGUCAGAAAGGAUUGGCACCUCGAUGUUGGCUUAGGGGCCCCUAAUGGUGCAGAAGCCAUAAAUGGUAGGUUUGUUCAACCUUUAAAACCCUAC
rnacentral:rRNA from 1 species